UUUGGGAUGUUGUUUUAUACAGUUGUUUUUACCAGUAGAUUGUAUUUGCUGCUGCCUGUCUUUUAUUUUGGAGGUCUCUUGACAGACAGGAAGUCAUGACAGGAAGUUAGCUUUAUGUUGUUUUUGUUUGCCCUGAGCAGCACAUGUGUUCAUCCUUUAACAUCUGCCUUUUUGUUCGUGCCUUUGACCUCACUGUCUGUCACGGAGGCAACAGUCUGAGCAGUGAGGUCCAGAUUUCUCUCACCCAAGACUCUUCAGGGGUCCCGAGGUGUUCCCAGCCCAGCCCAGAGACCAACAUAACAUAAGAUAAUCCUUUAUUGUCUCCCAUGGGAGAAAUUUGUCUUGGGACAGGGGGUCACAUGUUUUAUCAAAAAACAACACAACACAAAGCAGCACAUAAACAAACAUCAGAGAACAGAAUAAAUAUGAGACCAAGUGUGACCACGAGUGAUGCACCAACGGGACCUUUAAAAACUAUUCUUAACAGACAAGCCCUUGCAUUCUUCUGUUCUAUUAAUUAUUGCACAUUCCCUAAGCCUUUUAUAAUUAUUUUUAACUGCACUAUCUGAGUUUAGCAGGUUAACAGCUAGUGGCACAAAAGAACGUUUGAAUCUGUUCAGUUUACAGUUUGGACCCUGAACCUUCUGCCUGAUGGCAUCAACUCAAACUGACUGUGAAGAACAUGGGUUGGGUCAUUGAUCACCUUCCUGGGUCUUCACGGAGGAUGUCCCCAGGGAGACAUCCAGCCACUCUCCAGAGGAAACCAUGGAUCUAUAAUAAGGACCGGAUAAGACACUCCCCCUGUCCUCGCUCCAGGUCGACUAGUGGACGCUCCAGGUACUGCAGGGGGCUUUACGACGCCUGGCACCUCCUGUGUGCUCAUGAUGGAUGAACCCGGAGCUACAUCUGCCCCAAGAAACCGACGAACGCCCGGAGAACGCCGUAUUUUCACAUCCAGACACAUCGUUUGGUUCGACAUGACUCAGGGUUAUAAUGCAAACAUGACACCAUUAAAGGGCCCAGAUUAUACUGUUUAUGAUCUGUGUUAUCAGGUCGUUUCCUCUUCAAAAACACACAUGGAGUUGAGUUUUGUUUCAUUCACACAUGUUUGAGUAAAAUUUUAUUAUUAGUCUGUCUACAUUUCUCCUCAUCUGGAUAUUUUUUCUCAAUUUUGCUUUUAAAACUCCCCCUUUUACCCCUGAAUAAAGUGUUAUAUAGGGGUGUGCAAAAAUAUUGAAAUAUCGAUAUAUCGUAUCGCUUAAUGUGAUGAUACAGUAUCGAUAUCAUGGGCUGCUGUAUCGAUAUAUCACCAAGAGUAU